UGGGGAAUAUUGCACAAUGGGCGCAAGCCUGAUGCAGCCAUGCCGCGUGUGUGAAGAAGGCCUUCGGGUUGUAAAGCACUUUCAGCGAGGAGGAAGGGUAGUGUGUUAAUAGCACAUUGCAUUGACGUUACUCGCAGAAGAAGCACCGGCUAACUCCGUGCCAGCAGCCGCGGUAAUACGGAGGGUGCAAGCGUUAAUCGGAAUUACUGGGCG
rnacentral:rRNA from 1 species